rnacentral:lncRNA from 1 species
AGCUUUCUAAAAUCUCUUUAGGGGUGUGCGUAGGCUCCUGUGUCUAUGCCUGCUUUUGACUGCCCAGUUGAAGCCUCUUCCUAUGCCUUUUAAAAUUUCACGCACUAUAAGGAGGAAGAGCUCAGGGCUCCCAAAACUUUUUAUUUAGAGGGAAGAAUGCUAGGGAGAUGGGUAUGCAGAGGGUUGACCAAAUUGGAAGAAAAUAUUUAUUCUGUAGUUUGGUGUUGGAAAAGGGAAUUUUCCAAUCAGCCACACCUCAGUGUUGCGGCAAAAUAAUUCUUGGCUCCCCUGGAAACGCAUGGGCAAGGUAGGGCAGAGCUGCUGCUGCUGAUACUGCCACCACCCUGGGCUUCCUGCUGACUCUGGGCUACUCCCUGGGGACAACAGAUUUGCAUUGACGUCCGGGGCUGUCCAGAGGCCCUCAAGAGCCAGUUGUGAGCUGAGCCCAGUAUGGGAAAGAUCUACCUUCUGGAAGCUACUACUACGUGGUGCUUGGAAAGAGGACUCAGGAGAGUGCAGCUUGCUCUGUGAGUGGGUGACAACCUCUUGGCGACUCAGGCUCAGCUGAGGAUGGUGCCAGUGUGCCGGAGACAGCCGUCAUACUGCCGGAUAGAGUGGCUCACUUGCAUGUAUUUGGAACAAAAAAAGGAGAUGCCUGGCAGCCCCGCUCUCUGCAGUGCUGUUGAGCCACCAAUUUUUGUGGUUUUGUGACCACAAGUGCUGACUGAUGCGACAUGACCCCAGUCUUGUCAGUGAAUCAUCACCAGGCUGCUUACUGGAAACUGGAUGCAGCAAGGAAAUAGGAUUUAACCGCUCUCUGCCUCCCAGGAGCCCUGAAAUCAGCAUUCCCAGAGGAAAGAAGAUGGCCAUCUGGGCUUGGCUUCCGGCUCCCCCCAUCUGGCUGGAACACACAUCAGUCACCCCUGUGUAACCUCCUCUGUGCCUUUCCCAUGGAGCACUGUGUCAUAUCACAAGUAGAACUACAAGAAGAUAUUUCUCCUCAGGGCAGAGGCUGGGUCUUCCGAUUGAAUCUCCCUUCUUUCUUCAUUGAGAUCCUCUUCUUCUGGAAGCUGGUUUCACAUGGUGGCUUAGAUUUUUCCAUCUUUGUAUCUAGCACCAUUUGAAAUCAGUGUUUUAGGAGUAAGAAUUGCAGCACAGCCAAGGGUGGACUGCAGAGGAACUGCUGCUCAUGGAACUGGCUCCUCUCCUCUUGCCACUUGAGUCUGUUCGAGAAGUCCAGGGAAGAACUUGAAGAGCAAAAUACACUCUUGAGUUUGUUGGGUUUUGGGAGAGGUGACAGUAGAGAAGGGGGUUGUGUUUAAAAUAAACACAGUGGCUUGAGCAGGGGCAGAGGUUGUGAUGCUAUUUCUGUUGACUCCUAGCAGCCAUCACCAGCAUGAAUGUGUUCGUAGGGCCUUUGAGUGUGGCGAUUGUCAUAUUCUGUUGGAUAACAAUGUAUUGGGUGUCGAUUGUCAUGGGGCAGGGGAGAGGGCAGUACACCUGGAGGACCAUUUUGUCCACAUCGACACCAUCAGUCUGCUCUUAGAGGAUGCCCUGGAGUAUUCGGCGUUGAUUGCGGGGCACCCGAAAUCAGACUUGCCACCUGGACUGUCGAGGUGCAGACCCUGGGAGCACCACUGGCCCAUCUCUUACACAGGCUGACCGAUUUCUCCUGGUGUUCAGAGUCUGUUUUUGUCUAGCACCAUUUGAAAUCGGUUAUGAUGUAGGGGGAAAAGCAGCAGCCUCGAAGCCUCAUGCCAACUCUGGGCAGCAGCAGCCUGUGGUUUCCUGGAAGAUGGAUGGGCAGAGAAUAGGGAAGGAAGAUCAUGCUUUUCCCUACUAACUUCUGUAACUGCAUGUAUGAUACAUUAUUGCAGAGGUAAGAGAUAGUUUAAUGGAUUUUUAAAAACAAAUUACUAUAAUUUAUCUGAUGUUCUCUAGUUGCAUUUUGCUGAAAUGUAGUGCUGUUCUAAAUUCUGUAAAUUGAUUGCUGUUGAAUUAUCUUUCUGUUGAGAAGAGUCUAUUCAUGCAUCCUGACCUUAAUAAAUACUAUGUUCAGUUUAUCAAAAAAAAAAA